AUGGUUAUAUAUGUCUGCAUUUUUUUUCAGCUCCCUACUGAAUCACUGUUUUAUCGUGCAGUUCUUCAAGAUAUUAUUAAAGAUUGUUAUGGCAUUACCAAAUGCAAUCAGCAUGUUGGUAAAAUUUAUUCCAAAUGCUCUUCCUUUCUGGAUUAUGUCAGAAAGUCUCUAAAGAAGCUUGGAUUAGAUGACUCCAAGCUGCCAGAAAAAACUAUAAUGGACUACUAUGAGAAGUAUAAGCCUAGAAUGAAUGAACUGGAAGCUUUUAAUAUGUUAAAAGUUGUUUUGGCCCCUUGUGUAGAGACAUUGAUUCUUCUGGACCGACUUUGCUACCUAAAAGAGCAGGGAGACUGGAGACCCCGGAGAGCACUGACCUUUAAAGAAAGAAAAGGAGACUGCCUGGGGGAUGAACAGUUUAUUCUCCUGACACUGUUCAACAAUCACAAAGGAAAGAGGUAAGACUUUUAUACAUGUAGGAAAACAGCUUAGAUAUUCUGGCUAUUGUCUUUUUGGUUUUAACAUCUGGUGAUAACAAGUGACUCUAAGUGACUCAUAAAAGCUACAGGCGAAUUUACAUGUCCCUUGUUUCCAUUCACUGAUCCAUACAUCUAAGAGCACACCGCAGCCCUCUUCUUAUCAGAUGGUAUCAAGAAAGCAGGGCGACUUCAGCAGAAGUCAAGCCCACCAGCCCAC
rnacentral:lncRNA from 1 species